GACGAACGCUGGCGGCGUGCUUAACACAUGCAAGUCGAACGGAAAGGCCCUGCUUGCAGGGUACUCGGGUGGCGAACGGGUGAGUAACACGUGGGUGAUCUGCCCUGCACUUCGGGAUAAGCUUGGGAAACUGGGUCUAAUACCGGAUAGGAACCAUCUUUAGUGUGGUGGUUGGAAAGUUUUUUCGGUGUAGGAUGAGCUCGCGGCCUAUCAGCUUGUUGGUGGGGUAAUGGCCUACCAAGGCGGCGACGGGUAGCCGGCCUGAGAGGGUGUACGGCCACAUUGGGACUGAGCUACGGCCCAGACUCCUACGGGAGGCAGCAGUGGGGAAUAUUGCACAAUGGGCGCAAGCCUGAUGCAGCGACGCCGCGUGGGGGAUGAAGGCCUUCGGGUUGUAAACUCCUUUCGCUAGGGACGAAGCUUUGUUGUGACGGUACCUAGAUAAGAAGCACCGGCUAACUACGUG
rnacentral:rRNA from 1 species